rnacentral:rRNA from 1 species
GAUGAAUGCUGGCGGUGUGCCUAAUACAUGCAAGUCGAGCGGUAAGGCCCUUCGGGUACACGAGCGGCGGACGGCUGAGUAACGCGUGGGAACAUGCCCCAAAGUGAGGGAUAACGCACCGAAAGGUGUGCUAAUACCGCAUAUGGUCUUCGGAUUAAAGGAUUUAUCCGCUUUGGGAGUGGCCUGCGUACGAUUAGAUUGUUGGUGAGGUAACGGCUCACCAAGUCGACGAUCGUUAACUGGUCUGAGAGGAUGAUCAGUCAGACUGGAACUGAGACACGGUCCAGACUCCUACGGGAGGCAGCAGUAAGGAAUCUUCCACAAAUGGGCGAAAGCCUGAUGGAGCAACGCCGCGUGCAGGAUGAAGGCCCUCGGGUCGUAAACUGCUUUUAUGAGUGAAGAAUAUGACGGUAACUCAUG